rnacentral:rRNA from 1 species
UACGUAGGGUGCAAGCGUUGUCCGGAAUUAUUGGGCGUAAAGAGCUCGUAGGCGGUCUGUCGCGUCGGCUGUGAAAACUCGGGGCUCAACCCCGAGCCUGCAGUCGAUACGGGCAGACUUGAGUGCUGUAGGGGAGACUGGAAUUCCUGGUGUAGCGGUGAAAUGCGCAGAUAUCAGGAGGAACACCGGUGGCGAAGGCGGGUCUCUGGGCAGUAACUGACGCUGAGGAGCGAAAGCGUGGGGAGCGAACAGG